AGAGAUCAGAAGAGAAAACAUAUAGAAAAAUAUAAAACAUUGAUAAAGUCUGAAAAAUCAGGAGAAAAAUACAAAAAGAGCACCAAAAUCACUAUUUCAUUGAACUUUCUUCUGUGACUUUGAAGUUUUUAAAUUCUGAAACAAAUUUAGACUCAUAUGAGGCUUGGAAUGGGUUGAGUUUGGUUUUCGAAGGCUUGGCUUGAAAUUUGCUAUUUGGUUUACUGUUUUAUUGGUCCUUAUGAGUCAAUUUUACUCUUUGGUUAUGUGAAUAUGGGCACUUUGCUGUUGCUGCUUGGCUGAUCCCUCACCCUAUUUUUUAUAUUUCAAUUUUCAGGUACACAUCUUAGGCCAUAUCGAUUCUGAAGUUGGAUAUGAAAUGAAAUAAAGAAUUUGAAGCAGAGAAAUUAGUUUAUUUUGUUGAAUCCAUAACAUUACUCUUAUUUUUGUUCUGAUUUAAUGUGAUUAUAUUGUCAAAUCAGCUUUAAGUAAGCAUUGUGUAAGCUAUUAGAGGUGAUAUGUUGUUAGUAUUAUUAUUUUUGAC
rnacentral:lncRNA from 1 species